rnacentral:lncRNA from 1 species
ACUGAACUAUUGUAGCUUAGUCUCAUUUUGGUUGGAUGGACCCUACAGUGUUCUGUAACUGAACUAUUGUAGCUCAGUCUCAUUUUGGUUGGAUGGACCCUACAGUGUUCUGUAACUGAACUAUUGUAGCUCAGUCUCAUUUUGGUUGGAUGGACCCUACAGUGUUCUGUAACUGAGAGGGUUUGUGUAUUUGUUGUGUAUAACUAGUGUGACUCGUACAACCUGUGCUGCCUGCUUUGUCACUUUCAAAUGUCACUCCUCUCUCUUUAGAGGGAGGUAGCUACUAGCUAGGUAGCGUGUUGUGUUCCAGGCUAGAGGGUGGUAGCUAUUAGCUAGGUAGCGUAUUGUGUUCCAGGCUAGAGGGUGGUAGCUACUAGCUAGGUAGCGUGUUGUGUUCCAGGCUAGAGGGUGGUAGCUAUUAGCUAGGUAGCGUGUUGUGUUCCAGGCUAGAGGGUGGUAGCUACUAGCUAGGUAGCGUGUUGUGUUCCAGGCUAGAGGGAGGUAGCUACUAGCUAGGUAGCGUGUUGUGUUCCAGGCUAGAGGGUGGUAGCUACUAGCUAGGUAGCGUGUUGUGUUCCAGGCUAGAGGGUGGUAGCUACUGGCUACUGUUAGAUAUGUCAUGGAUAUAUGACGCUCACUCUCUCAGCUCACUGCAGGUUCUACAGGUUUACAUGCAGUGUGUCCUGCCAGUGCUUUCACACCACCAUCAACCAGGCUUUAAUGUAUCCAGAACGGUCACAGCGUCACACCAACUGCUAGGCUAAACUCCAUGAUCUCAACCUAUUGUUCACUCACACAUCCCCUCUUCAACACAGUGACC